ACGGGAGGCAGCAGUGGGGAAUAUUGCACAAUGGAGGAAACUCUGAUGCAGCAACGCCGCGUGAGUGAAGAAGUAUUUCGGUAUGUAAAGCUCUAUCAGCAGGGAAGAAAAUGACGGUACCUGACUAAGAAGCCCCGGCUAACUACGUGCCAGCAGCCGCGGUAAUACGUAGGGGGCAAGCGUUAUCCGGAUUUACUGGGUGUAAAGGGAGCGUAGGUGGCAACGCAAGUCAGAAGUGAAAGCCCGGGGCUCAACUCCGGGACUGCUUUUGAAACUGUGUAGCUAGAGUGCAGGAGAGGUAAGUGGAAUUCCUAGUGUAGCGGUGAAAUGCGUAGAUAUUAGGAGGAACACCGGUGGCGAAGGCGGCUUACUGGACUGUAACUGACACUGAGGCUCGAAAGCGUGGGGAGCAAACAGGAUUAGAUACCCUGGUA
rnacentral:rRNA from 1 species